GGUUGAUCCUGCCAGUAGUCAUAUGCUUGUUUAAAAGAUUAAGCCAUGCAUGUGUAAGUAUAGAGCAAUCUAGCUUGAAACUGCGAACGGCUCAUUAAAUCAGUAAUCAUCUACUUGAUUGUAAAAGCUAUAUGGAUACCUGUAGUAAUUCUAGAGCUAAUACAUGAGAAAACUUCUGACUUAAGGGAAGGAAGGUAUUUAUUAGAUACAAAAUCGAUGGAGGGAAACCUUCUUAAAGAUGAUUCAUAGUAACUAGACGAAGCGCAUUUUAAGGCGCUAAUACAAACGAGUUU
rnacentral:rRNA from 1 species